UCCACACCAUUCUUGAAGCUUCCAUGCCAUUUUCUCUUUAUCCACCAUGAAACCAAGUUUUCUUCAUUUUCCUUUCCAUGUUUUCUUUUCCGUUUUUCUCCAAACUUCUUGAGCACUAAAUUUACAACCUUUAACCCCAAUUUCCAGCACAUCUAAACCCUAGGAGGAGAAGAAAGAAAAAAGAGAGAAAGGAAGAAAAAGCUUGGUUUUGGUGAUUCAAGUAAGGAACGGUAAGAAUUCUUGUUUUUGGCUUGAGUAGUCUUUGAAAAUGAGUUAGUGACUUAGAGAAAUGUCUUGUGGCA
rnacentral:lncRNA from 1 species